GUUAGAACAGCCUCUUCCUGAGAUAUCUGAAACACAGAGCUCCUCCAGGCUGCGGGGCCGCUGACAGGAACUGCCUGUGAGAGAGGAUGUGAGUACUGGGGGCGGAGCCAGCUGCAUCAAUCUGCCCCACAGUGCUGCCGGCCUCCCGGGGAAGUUCCCGGUCACCUUUAUGGCCAAUCCGGCCCUGUCUAACUCUCUCUGCACAUGUUCUCUUGUGUAACCAUGGUGACUGGGGCCGGACGGGUGACGUCACUUCCGGCGCGCCGCGGGACCUGCGGCCGGAUACGCCACUGCAGAACGGCGUCCAUGUGUGGCUGGGGACACACUGGGAGAAGGAGGGUCUUUCUCAUGUUUGGCUAGCUCCGACGCUCCCCAAAGCUGUUGGCCUGGUGGCCUAUUCAGAAUCUGAGAAGGAGUUUGAAGUCACAACCAUGGAUGCAGAAAUAAAACCACCAAUCCCUACCCAGUAGUAGCCAGCAAGUCAGGUGGAAGAAGACUCCAGCCUCCGCCAGCAGCAGAUAGCACCAAAAACCCCAAAUGAAACCAUCAUCCGGCAGCUAAGGUAGCUGAACAAGACCUGCUCCUGCUCUUCUCUGCACUGCUCAUAAUAUAUAUCAAUGAACUCAACACACACAAGUUGUACAAUAAAAAAUAUCAAUUCUUUUUUACUUUUUCCACAAAUGACAACUAACAGAUCAGAAUGUCGCAUCGCUUAUAUUUAUGUGAACAAUUUUGCUGUUGGGUACAUCACUCACAGGUUGUACAAUAAAAAAGAUCAAUUUUU